rnacentral:lncRNA from 1 species
GAAACAUUCUUGGAAAAUGUAUGUCGAGAAGAACAAAACAGACCUGAAAAAUUAAAUUUUCAAGCUCAUGAGCUGGAGAGAGCAAACAAGAUUGUUAAAUUGUCCUGCUCUUGGCACACAGCAGUUAAUCUGGGUGAGAAGUAGAGCUGUAGGAGUCUCGUGUCCGACCUCGCCCUGGAGCCUUGCAGCCAUGGCACUGCCAACACCCACAAGCACCGCUAUUGCAUCCAUGGUGAAACGUGAAGAACUGCGGUAACCAUUAUCAGGGGUAUAGUAAAAUAGAAGAUAUGCUCUCUGCCCCCAAGAAACCACAAUCCAAUUGUCAAAAAAUGAAGAAAUGGCAGUGUGGACUUCACCAAAUGUGGUGGCAGGAAGCAAUAACAGUCAGGCGUGGAGCUGCUCCAGCUGAUGUCAUCUUCGUUCCCUCUACUGCACAUUUGCAAGGUUCACAGCUUUCCCAUUCAGCCGCAGCGGGGGGUGCGGGGCCCCAUGUUCAUCCCCAUUCCAGAGAUGGGAGAGCCACAGCUCCGUGCAAGGGGAUGGUGGGCAGGCUCCAGGGACAACCGGCUACCCAGCACUGGUAGGAACGUCCUCUGCAGGGACAGUAUGGGAUGAGAAGGGAACUGAAAAGUCAUUAAUAAGGUAAAAUGCCCAGCAUGGUGCCUGGAGCUUGUCAGCCACCAAAUUAUUAACAUCAUGUAAAAAGAUCCAAGUAGUGGGUGUUGCCCAUUAUAGACAGGGAGAGAAGCGGAGU